UCUUAAACUUUUUUUAAACUUUUCAAACUUUUUAAACUUUCUGGUCCGGCUUUCUCAAGCCAACUUAAAGUUUGUCUCGACAAACGUUUUCAUCUAGUUAAUAGAUGCUGACUUUUCCAUUUGUUGACAUGACAUGGUUAGAUUCAGAUGGUAAAUAUAUAUUAUGUUGGGUGUCCAUUUUAGAGAUGAUCACCAUGUUUAGAAUGAAACAUCAUAUUUAAAAACAUAUUAAUCAUAUCAUAUAGUAAAAUAUCAUUUGUUACUACUGCAAAUAUAUAUUCAAUUAUUAUUGGAUCUUCAAUACUUUCAGAAUCUUUACUUAAAAUAUAUUUUAAAAUACAGAAACAAAAUCAUUUUAAUAUGAAUAUAUUUUAAUGACAGUAUAUUUAUUGAACAAUUUUUUUUUCAAAAUAAGCAGAAAAUAGUACAAACUUUGCUAAAGUAAUCACUUUAAACAACUAAUUUAAACCGUUUAUAUUCUUGAGGUGGGCCUUUAGCCCCGUUGUACCCGACUCUUAAAAUGUCUUUAGAUAAAUUAUAAUUCAGAAACACAAUUUUCUUGAUUUCUCACACUUAAACUCAAUUUUCACAUUUUUAAUGUUAUUUUAUAAGUAGUUCUAUAGUUGAUUCUAUAUCUUAAUCUACUUUGUUAAUCUUUUUUUUCUGUUUUUGUUUAUGGUCAUAUAAUAAGGUUUUUGGCAAUGAUUUAUUAAUUAUUGGACUGUAUGGUGUUAACACAUGAUGAAUUACUCUCACAUGAACAUAACGUGUCUGAAUCAUUGUCUUUUCUCUUUCUCACCUGAGAGAACUGAACCUGAGCUGGAAUAAAAUAAAAAACACAGGAGUGAUUCACUUAUGUGACGUACUGAAGGAUUCACGCUGUAAACUGGAGAGAUUGAGUCUUUAUGACUGUGGCAUUACAGAUGUUUCUUCUUUAACUCAGUCUUUGACAAACACAAAAGCUCUGCAGUUUCUAAAAGAGCUUGAACUGAGUGAUAAUAUGAUUAGAGACUCAAAGCAGCAGCUCAUUGAUGUGCUACGAGACUCAAACUGUGAACUGAGUGUAGAUACACAUCCAUCACCAGAAGUCCCUGAUAGAGAUCCAUCACCAAAAGAUGAUAAAUGCUGUAUAUCAUAGUUUGAAGUCGUCUUGAGAGGAGCAGUAAACAUCAUGUGAAGAUCCACAGAAUAGCUUCACUACUGCGUCUAUGAGGAGAAAUAAAUGUGUGAUAAAUGUGUAAAUGUGAUCCAUACACGUGAAGAGACUCAGACUUUACAAUGAAAUAAUGCAGCAUGUGUGUUAGAAACAUGAUAUUGAAUGAUUAAUGUUGCUUUAGUAUUCAAACUAAUGAUCAUUUUGUUUAAUUUAAAGCUGGAACAGAGGAAGAAGCUCAGAUGAGUCUGUCUGGCUCUUCAGUUUAAUAAUAUUUGUAUUAAACUCAUCCAUAAUUAUUCAGAUGUUUAAAUGUGAUUGUCAAGUGCAGCACUUAAAUGUAUCUAAAUAUAUUAAGCAAAUCUUCAAUGUGAAAUUUCCAUGUUACUUAAAACAUUUACAUGAUCUCUCUUAUAUUUUAUACACAUUGUUAUUAUAUUUGAUGUUAUAUUAAGUUAGUUAUGUGUCUGUCUGUUGCUAACAAUCACAAAUCCUCUCAUUACAACAAAAGCAGAAACACAAUGUAAAUAAAAGAUGGAUUGUGCAGUUUUGACAGAUGAAUUGAUUAAAACGGGAGUUUUCACACACAGUGAGUUUGUGCUGAACUGACUGACAGCUUCAGUGUUUAUAAAUGCUGUGCCUUUUACUCGA